rnacentral:rRNA from 1 species
GAUGAACGCUGGCGGCGUGCCUAAUACAUGCCAGUCGAGCGAACGGACGAGAAGCUUGCUUCUCUGAUGUUAGCGGCGGACGGGUGAGUAACACGUGGAUAACCUACCUAUAAGACUGGGAUAACUUCGGGAAACCGGAGCUAAUACCGGAUAAUAUUUUGAACCGCAUGGUUCAAAAGUGAAAGACGGUCUUGCUGUCACUUAUAGAUGGAUCCGCGCUGCAUUAGCUAGUUGGUAAGGUAACGGCUUACCAAGGCAACGAUGCAUAGCCGACCUGAGAGGGUGAUCGGCCACACGGAAACUGGGACACGGUCCAAACUCCUACGGGAGGCAGCAGUAGGAAAUCUUCCGCAAUGGGCGAAAGCCUGACGGAGCAACGCCGCGUGAGUGAUGAAGGUCUUCGGAUCGUAAAACUCUGUUAUUAGGGAAGAACAGAUGUGUAAGUAACUGUGCACAUCUUGACGGUACCUAAUCAGAAAGCCACGGCUAACUACGU